rnacentral:lncRNA from 1 species
CAUGUUUACAUGAUUUUUGGUGCUUUGAAUUUUGUUUGAUUAAAAAUCAUUUUGAGGAAAGGUAUUUGGGGAUUCAAAUUUUUGAGAAAGGAGAUGAUUGAGAAUCAUUAUUUUGAGAAGAGAAAGUUUUUAAAGAUUGUUUAAACGGGUUUUAUCUUCACAAUCAUAUUAAGUUAAAUUCAUAUUAAUUAUCGUCUUUACUCCACUAUUUAUUAUUUUGACGAUAAUUUAUUAUAUGAUUUCUUAUUGCAUAAAUUCAUCAAAAUUUUGAAAUCAAAUUUGAUUUUUUGGUGAUUAAUUCAUCUUGGUUGUGAGUGUUGGAUAUGAUGAAUGGAUAUUCUCUAAUUGACUAAAAUUCGUCAAAAUUAUUUUCAAUUGUGAGAUUGCCUAAUUUAGGGGGAGUUUGAAAUUUUUUUUUUUAAAAAAAAAAGGAGAAAAAGAAACUCCUAUAUUUAAAAGAUGUGGAAAGAGUUACAUCCUAAAAGGAGUGUGAAAACUACCACCACAUGUAGGAAAGAGCUACCACCCCGGUCGUCCGGCAAGUGUGUGAAGCUACCACAUGAAGAUUAAAUUGGAUAAGCCGAAGAAGGUUGAAAAAAUAUAAAUAUUUUAGAAUUUUCGGAGUAAUAAGGUGCUAGUUUGAAAAAGAUGCUCAAAGAGCCACCCCCGGUGCCAUAUUAGUUAAAUCUCUAUUUUGAACGUGUUACGACAAAUUAGUGUCAAUUUUUGUUGAAUUUCUAAAAAUCAUUUUUCAUCAACUUACAUCUUGAUGGUUUUGAAUCGUUAAAUUAUUUUUGAUUUUGAAAUUUUGACGUUUUGAUGUGUUUUGAAAUUUUAUAAUAUUUUAUUUUCAUUAUAAUGAUUUUUGGAGUAAAAGCCUUAACUAUGUGAAUUUAAUUUAAAUGUGAUGGAUUUUUAAAGUAUAUUUUUCGAAAAAAAUUUUUCACAUUUUGGUCCUUGUACCGGAACAAGAACCCGUGUACCGGUACAAGGUCUGCGGCCGAGCGGAAUAUAACCGGGUAUAACGCUUCGAUCUUUCUCAAAACUCAAUCGUUUUUCAAAAUUUUUGGUUCUGUGAGCUCCAGAGACUCUCCUUCAUUCGUUCUACACAUUUUUUCUGUGGAUUUGUAAGUUUUUAGCAUCAAAUUUGUGAGUUUUAUCCCGAUUUUGCUAUUUUCACUGUUUUUGCGGGAUAAGGGUUUGAUCUCUAUUCUAAUCCGUUUUUGAUGCAAUUUUUUGCUAUAGAUCAGUGUCUUAGGCUAUUACCUUGCUUGUAGAACACUUGAACAACAUCAAAACAAGUUAUUUUUCGCUGAUCUAAAAUCUAUGUUCUAAUGUGCAUGUAAUUUCGGAAUUUUUCAAAAAAUUCAAUUUUUGCUGAAAUAUUUUGCAGGAUCUGGUUAGAAAUAGCUUUUGUAUGCAUUCUAAUGUAUUUAGAAAUUUUUUCGCUAUUUUUACAGAUUUUUUCCAGAAAUAUGUUCAUAUAUGCAAUUUUUGAUAGAGGAAAAUGGCAUUUUUGCUCGUACUGGUGCUUUUGGUGCUUAUGGCUGGGAGACGGAGCCGUGGUAGUGGUAGAGGUCGUCAUGGAGUUUCUAAAAGGACACGUACCACUGAAGAAGCGUCCGAUUCUGAUCCGGAUUAUCAGGAGAGCUCCUCUGAAGAAUCUGAAGAACCUAUUGCGCAACUUGACAAAGGCAAAGGUUUAGCUGGCGAAUCAUCUCCCGGUGGUGGUUCUCGUACUCGUGAGGGACGUUCAAAACAAGCUGCAGAGGUUCCUCCAGCACGGCGAAGGUUGUUUGCAUCAAAGUCGUGCAUAGCUGAACGCUUUGUGAACUUCCAUGAUCUGAUUCAGGAGGUUCCUGAUUUUGGACGAUUACUACAGCGCGCGCCUAUUGAGCCUGUUGGACGGGUUCCUGCGAAGGCUCCUUUCUGUGUAGAACUCAUUAGGGAGUUCUAUAUGAAUGGAAAGGUGCUUGCUGAAGAUGAUGAAACAGGCACGUUCAUCUUCGAGACUGUUGUGCGUCAGAGGAGAUUUCCAGUUACUCCCUAUGAUAUUGGAGAGAUCUUGGGGAUGCAUGUGGACACUUCAGGUCUUCUCUAUACUUCAGGAGGAUUUCAAGCAUCGACUCACCUGGAUAUCAUUCUUGGAGCUAUAUGCAAAGCCGGUGUUUACAUGACUCAUGGUUACAUUGAAUCCAAGGACUUAUUACCUGAGUAUCACUUGCUAUUCUUGGUUAUGAGCUACAAUAUUCAACCGACUAUCGGCACAAAGAGGAUUCGCUGGGAGAGAUUGGUGUUGCUAUAUCUACUUGGUCAUCCCGAGCAGGCUCGUGGGUUGAACAUCAANNNNNNNNNNNNNNNNNNNCGUACAAUCAACUUCUCAUUGAAUCAAAGAAGAUGGCUAAACUCAACAAGAAGUUGAGACGUCGUUUGUUGGAACUUGAGGAGGAAAACAACAACGUAAAGAAUUUGAAUAAGGUUCUUGAGGAGGAAAGAGAUUCAAGUUUGAAGAUUAAUUCAGACCUCCAAGAGAAGCUUAAUGAUGCGGAAUCAACGAUCAAAUCUUCUAACGACAAGAUUGGAUUUUUGGAGCAACAAUUCGAUGAAUCGCACAAGUCCAAUCAAGUCUUGACCAACCAAGUUCGUCAACUUCAAUCCGAUCUUCAACAAUUUUCUUCGGGAUCAAAGAAGUUGGACCAUAUGCUCGGGUUGGGUCAAACGGAUAAGUUGGGACUCGGAUAUGAAAGAACAUAUGUUGAGAAGGAUUCAAAAUCAACUUCUAAAGUCUCAACAACUUUGAAAGAGAAGGUGUGUCAUACAUGUGGCAUCAAAGGACAUAUCAAAAGGAGUUGCCCGAUCAAGACAAAGAAGAAUCAAUUGGCAACUUUGCAACCUCAAGUGGCAUCAUCUACAACUCGACUUCCCCCUCGGAAUCAAAAGCAAAAUCAAGUGCACAAGCCUCAACGACAAAAUCAACCGAAGCCUCAACCGAAGAAACCACCAACGGUUGGUCAAAAGUCUAAACAAACGGCACCUAACGUCGACAAGUUGAGAAAACAAAAGAUCCGACAAGUUUGGAUCCGGAAAGGUGAUAUCUUUCCUUGCUUCUCGUCUUAGCUGUUUCUGAUUUCUUGUGUAGUGCUUUGAUAGGUGCUUAUUGCAUAUUUUUAUUCAUUGCAUUACAUGUUUAUAUGAUUUUUGGUGCUUUAAAUUUUGUUUGGUUAAAAAUCAUUUUGAGGAAAGGUAUUUGGGGAUUCAAAUUUUUGAGAAAGGAGAUAAUUGAGAAUUAUUAUUUUGAAAAGAGAAAUUUCUUUAAUGUCGCGUAAACGGUAUUUAACUUCACAAUCAUAUUAAGUUAAGUUCAUAUUAAUUAUCGUUUUUACUCCACUUUUUAUUAUUUUGACGAUAAUUUAUUAUAUGAUUUCUUAUUGUAUAAAUUCAUCAAAAUUUUGAAAAUCAAAUUUGAUUUUUUGAUGAUUAUUUCAUCUUGGUUGUGAGUGUUGGAUAUGAUGAAUGGAUAUU